UCGGGGUCGAGCGCGCGGGAAACCCUGCGAACCCCACGCGUGUGCGCUGGGCCUGGGCGUCCACGAGCGGCGGGAGGGAAUCUGACCCCGGACUCGGGCAGAGCCUCCCGGUGAUUUGGAAAUCUCCCCGGAGUGAAAGCUAAACUUUUGGAGCGGGCUUACAGCAGGGUAGGGGACAGCGCCGCGCGGGCAGAAAUAAGGAAGAGACCGCAGAAGAGAGGGAAGAUCGUGAGUCUGCCUUUACCCAGUUGAAAGCUAAUUAAUUGGUGCUGGAAGGAGGGAAACUGGGACCCAAGGCAGGUUUGGAGCCUUGAAACUUCGUUGCACGAUUGGGAGAUGCGUGUUGCUGCAGACUUUAAACAGGCUUAAACCCGGGCUCCAACACAGGCUGAAAAUAUGGCGCGCCGGUCUGUCCCUUCCCCACGUCCCCAAGUUCUCUUCUGACUCUUCCUGCCUUUCCCAGCUUUCCUUCCCGACGCCGGCGGCUCCUCACCCCGCCCUCAGGGCGGCUACCCUACCUUUCAGCAAUUCUCCGCUUCUGCGCCAGGAAUCCCGGAAUCUUGGAACCACGGGGAACGAACUCAAACUCGCGCUGGGGCGGGGUGGGGGUCGGAGGAAGGUCCUGCUCCCAAUUCUCCCCAGAGCAGAAAAGAAUUCCAGGGGCUACGUGUGGGCUGCUAUUUUUCCCUCUUGUCCCCGCUCCUCCCCCACCCCUACACCCCACUGAACCACCAAAGAGUGGCGAUGUAAAAGGGCUCGCGUGGAAAAUG